rnacentral:rRNA from 1 species
GUCGAACGGUAGCAGGAAGUGCUUGCACUUCGCUGACGAGUGGCGGACGGGUGAGUAAUGCUUGGGAACUUGCCUUUAGGUGGGGGAUAACAGUUGGAAACGACUGCUAAUACCGCAUAAUGUCUACGGACCAAAGGGGGCUUCGGCUCCCGCCUUGAGAGAGGCCCAAGUGAGAUUAGCUAGUUGGUGGGGUAAAGGCCUACCAAGGCAACGAUCUCUAGCUGUUCUGAGAGGAAGAUCAGCCACACUGGGACUGAGACACGGCCCAGACUCCUACGGGAGGCAGCAGUGGGGAAUAUUGCACAAUGGGGGAAACCCUGAUGCAGCCAUGCCGCGUGUGUGAAGAAGGCCUUCGGGUUGUAAAGCACUUUCAGUUGUGAGGAAAGGUUGGUAGUUAAUACCUGCCAGCUGUGACGUUAACAACAGAAGAAGCACCGGCUAACUCCGUGCCAGCAGCCGCGGUAAUACGGAGGGUGCGAGCGUUAAUCGGAAUUACUGGGCGUAAAGCGCACGCAGGCGGCUUGUUAAGCUAGAGGUGAAAGCCCCGCGCUCAACGUGGGAACUGCCUUUAGAACUGGCAGGCUAGAGUCUUGGAGAGGGGAGUGG